UAGUCCACGCCGUAAACGAUGUCAACUAGCCGUUGGUUCCAUUUAAGGGAUCAGUGGCGCAGCUAACGCGAUAAGUUGACCGCCUGGGGAGUACGCCGGCAACGGUAAAACUCAAAGGAAUUGACGGGGCCCGCACAAGCGGUGGAGCAUGUGGUUUAAUUCGAUGCAACGCGAAAAACCUUACCUACCCUUGACAUCAUCGGAACUUGUUAGAGAUAACUCGGUGCCUUCGGGAGCCGAUAGACAGGUGCUGCAUGGCUGUCGUCAGCUCGCGUCGUGAGAUGUUGGGUUAAGUCCAGCAACGAGCGCAACCCCUAUCGUAUGUUACCAGCAUUUAGUUGGGGACUCAUGCGAGACUGCCGGUGUUGAGCCGGAGGAAGGUGGGGACGACGGUCAAGUCAUCAUGGGCCCUUACGUGUAGGGGCUACAAACGUGCUACAAUGGGGUACUACAGUGGGCAGCGAAGUCGCGAGGCUAAGCUAAUCUCCAAAAGUAUUCUCAGUUCGGGAUA
rnacentral:rRNA from 1 species